rnacentral:rRNA from 1 species
AUUGAACGCUGGCGGCAUGCCUUACACAUGCAAGUCGAACGGUAACGGGCCUUCGGGUGCCGACGAGUGGCGAACGGGUGAGUAAUACAUCGGAACGUGCCCGAUCGUGGGGGAUAACGAGGCGAAAGCUUUGCUAAUACCGCAUACGAUCUACGGAUGAAAGCAGGGGACCGCAAGGCCUUGCGCGGACGGAGCGGCCGAUAGCAGAUUAGGUAGUUGGUGGGAUAAAAGCUUACCAAGCCGACGAUCUGUAGCUGGUCUGAGGGGAUGAUCGGCCACACUGGGAAUGGAAAACGGCCCGGACCCCUACGGGAGGCAGCAGGGGGGAAUUUUGGAAAAGGGGCGCAAGCCUGAUCAAGCCAUGCCGGGGGCAGGAGGAAGGCCUUCGGGUUGUAAACUGCUUUUGUACGGAACAAAAAGCCUUCUUUUAAAACAGGGGGGUCAGGAGGGAACCGUAAGAAUAAGCACCGGCUAACUACGG